GAUGAACGCUAGCUACAGGCUUAACACAUGCAAGUCGAGGGGCAGCGCAGUGUAGCAAUACAUGGGCGGCGACCGGCGCACGGGUGCGUAACGCGUAUCCAACCUUCCCGUUACUCAGGGAUAGCCUUCCGAAAGGGAGAUUAAUACCUGAUGGUGUUGAAAUUCCGCAUGUUAUUUCAACUAAAGAUUUAUCGGUAACGGAUGGGGAUGCGUGACAUUAGGUAGAUGGCGGGGUAACGGCCCACCAUGCCUACGAUGUCUAGGGGUUCUGAGAGGAAGGUCCCCCACGUUGGAACUGAGACACGGUCCAGACUCCUACGGGAGGCAGCAGUGAGGAAUAUUGGUCAAUGGUCGGAAGACUGAACCAGCCAAGUAGCGUGAAGGAUGAAGGUUCUAUGGAUUGUAAACUUCUUUUAUACGGGAAUAAAACCUCCCACGUGUGGGAGCUUGUAUGUACCGUAUGAAUAAGCAUCGGCUAACUCCGUGCCAGCAGCCGCAGUAAAAC
rnacentral:rRNA from 1 species